ensembl:lncRNA
CAGGAAUUUACACUGUAUCACAAGCUACAGCACACAUGUCAUUGUGCAAAAUGUGAAUGGCCUAAGCAGGACUCUCACAUAUAACAUACUACACAUCUCAUGAACAACAAGAUUUUUGUCUUUUUCAUUUUAAGUGGGCCAGAGCCGGUAGCUCAGCGGUUGAGUGGUAAACCCUCAAAAUUAUAAAAAGUAAACAAAUGGAAAUUGCUGCUGUAAUUUGAUUAUUUUAAUAAGCCAUGUAACUUGCUAUGAUCCCAGUUGUUGAUCAGGUGUGAUACUGGUGUUGUGGCCACAGCGUGCACAACUGAUGUUGCUCACAGUGAUCCUCAGUGUGCUCAGGGAGCUUGUGUGUAUGCCCAGAUACAUGAAAAAUUAGAGGGAACAUUGCCGCCAACUGGCACGCACACCCAUUCCCUCCUGAUUGAAAACAGCAGACCGCAUUUCUAGAGGCUGAGUUUAUGGUUGAGUCGACUGAACGUUAAGCUGACUCUACAACUACACUGGAUGAAGGUAUCCUUACCAGGUGACUGUACAACUACUGAAGGGGCGUAACAGUUGCACCAUGAAGAAGGAAAUCCUGGGGCGUGUGAUGGUAAUUCCAUGUAUCGACACUCGGAGUAAGGAACACAGAGACAAAGUUCUCUUUGUACAUUCUAACAGUUUUAUUAACUAUUAUGCACAUAUGAGAGACGCGUCAACCGCUAACACACACAUAAUCGUCUGAGGAGUCUCUCACUCAAAACAUGCACAAUCCGUAUUAAUUACAGUGAAAAGGGGUGUGGUAAGAUGUUACUACCUAAGCUUCACACAAAGGACAAGCUCUCCUUCCUCCCAUAGGUAACUUCUUCAAUUCUAAGAGUUCUCACAGUAUCUGGACAGACAGUAGAUGCCCCCUAUGCAAAUACCAGCUCCCCCACAUUCCUUUACCUAUCUAAACAAUGGGACUCAAGUCCUUUAAUCAGUAAGAAUGCAUCAGGCUUCAGAAACUUCCCCAACAAUCCAUCCUCUUGAUACCAUGUCAAACCUUGGUAUCAACCCUUAAACAGUUCACUCAUUAGGAUGUAGACUGCAACAAAACAGUACUCUUUAACAACAUGACCCAGUCAAUAUCAUUACCCUUAAUGAUUAGAGAACGGAACAGGCUUCAGAAACUUCCCCAACAGGCGUCAUAUUUUCAUUUAAUCUCUGCAAUUACAAAAAAUUAUGAAAUUAAAUUGCACUAGAAAACAUGUACACACAGAAUAAUAUUCUGAAGUUGUAGUGUUAAAAAAUAUAGCUCUGGAAAGUAUUCAGAGACUGCUUUUCUUGCUCUUUUCCUCACAAAAAAUGUGAAGUGGUCUCUUAAUAUUUUCCUAGGGCUGUAUUUCUGAUAUUGUGUGUGAGUGUACAACUUACAAUUAAAUUCUGCAUCAUAAAGCAGCUGGAGAAUUUGCAUUUUUGCAUAAGCCUUCUUCUGUGUUGGUAGUCUUUUUAGUGAGGGCACAAUGGUUUUAGAAAACAGCUCAUCCUCAUCAUCGGGUCUUGUUGGAAUGGUAGCUUCUACCUCAAUGGCAGUCAGGAGGCACUGCUGAAAUGGCGUCAUGUUGGGGGUGGCUUGUCCUGUCCAAUGCCUCCAUGUAUGGGGUCUGGUAGCUUGUGAAGAGCUUGUGGCUGAAGAUGAGUCUUCAUCAGACAUGGGCUCCUCAUGGACAGUAACAUUUUCCAGCUCGAUGUUCUCUUCUCUACUCUCAUCUUCCACUCUUCUGCUCUCCUCUCCUCUUUCUCGCCCUCCUCUCUCUUGUCCCCCCCUCUCCUCCCUUUCUCUUUCUUGUCCUCUUUUCUCCAUCCCUCUCCUAUCCACUCCAUGCACCUGGCUGUCCCUGGCAGUCAUGUUUCCACUUGUGGGACGUGACUUAAUGAAAGGGUAGAGGAAUGACAAGCUGUCGGCUAUAGGUGCAUCCUGCUGGCGGGGAUGAAACGUUUGCUGCCGAAUACGUCACUCCCAUUUCUUGCGAGAUCCCGCCGGCAAUUAGCCGGCGGUCCGACUGCUUCAUUUUCUCUGCCGGUUGCCUCGGUCUAAUGGACCGCGUCCGUCCGGCGGCAAGACGCUUUUAAAUACAAGGCUACUCUCAAAAUCGACCAGCCCUGUUGGUUUGGACACACAUUCGCAUCAGUUCGUCGCUCAAUCGCGAGUUACAGCCUGCAGCCUGCAGUUUGCUAGCUAGCAAAGUCAUUGACUACCAUUGUUUAAGUAAGUACAUGUUUCCUUUUUGUGUAACGCAAUAUUAUGUUUACAUUGUUUUUAGUUUAUAUAUUUAAAAUGUGUAGUCAUCUUUGUUCUUGCCUAACUAGCUAAAGUAGCCUUGUUUACGCAAUGUUGCUAGUACAUGUAGAAUUUUAACGAGCUAUAAUAGGUAGCAAAAGUUUUACAUCUAGAAAGACUAAGUUUAACUUUUAGUGUUUUCUUACAAAAAUAAUUAUGUAUAUAAGUUGUUUAAAUUAUUUUGUUUGCCUGAACAAGUAUGCUGCUAGUCCAGUAGCUAGAGUGGCUAGUAAGUGUUAGCUAGCACAUGCUGUUUUGCCUUUGUUACAGUACACACUGUGGCUAACAAGUUUUGUGCUGUAUUGCUACUGUACUGGAUUUAAGGCGAUUAUGAUUUCUAAUUCUCUGAACUGCUGUACUUCUUAUGUUUGAGGAAAAUUCUGUGUUCACUUGAAUCACAACACUCGGUGAAUACAUUUUAUUUUUAACAAUUUCACUGUUCCACAUUUGGCUGAUAAUGUUUCCCCCCCCACAGCAUAGCUACUGUAUAUUCCUAACGUUAACAAUACGGUUUUGUUCACGUUUUCUUGCAGCCAAGAGACCUACUGUUGGUCAAUUGUUUUGGCUUUAAAGGUAAAUGCAUUGUUAGUCACAAUGUCUAGUUACUGGGCCAAAAGGAAAAUAAUAUUGAAAAGAGUUGAGAGGGACAAACAGGACAUUCACUUGAAUCACUACAUGCUACAGAAGUUGCAUCGAUUCCAGAAAACCAGGAAAAUGUUGAGCCAUCUGUAGACUUCAGCGCUGAACCAGGUUUCUCCCCAAUAAUCCAGACUCCACUUCACAGAGCUAAGAGUUUGAGUACAACUCGUCAAGUACUAAGCUUUACCGUGGCAGCAUAUGGGUGAAAACGUUGGAGGAGAAAGUCAUUGCUCUGUUAUUGGCCCUUGGACGCCCCUGGCAUCUCGUGUACAGCACAAAGUUUUCAGCCAUGAAGAUUUUCAGAGACUCCAGAAUGAAAACCAAGCUCUGAGGGAGGAGAACCAAGCCCUGAGGGAUUGCAAUGCAUGAGCAGAUGAGAACUCUUUCUUUUGUGUGUAAUGUAGGUUCAGAAUUACCAUAUGCUUUUGAUUUUGUAGCUUCGAAUGACAGCGGCUCCCUUCAAGAGCAGGUGAAGCAAGUAGGGACAAUGUUGAAGACGUUUGCUCUCACUGGGCAAUCAGGUGCGUUACCUGAAAGGAGCAUCUGACCGUGAAGGCAGAAAAAGGCGCCCCACAACCGACCCCUUAAACCUAGGCUGACUACUGACACCCCAGCAUCACUGAACUGGAAUACUUUCUUUAUCCUGCAGUCAGUAACAUCAAGAAGCCAGAAGUGCCAGACUGCACACACCAAAUCCACCCUGUUUCUUUUGUAUAUUAACUUUAGUAUUGGCUUAUUUCAUUCCGUCUUAACGAUUCUAUUAUAGUUUGUAAAUCCUAUUUCAUACCUGUUACUUGAUAUUGCACAUUAACUAGUACCAAAAUUCUACUUGCAUUUCAUCAGUGUGCUUAACUGUUAUUCUAUUAAUAAUAGCUUAGAAAUACUAUUUCGUACCUCUGAUACUUGAUAUUGCACAUUACUUGGUACCAAAUAUUAACUGUUAUUCUAUUGUUAAAUAUAGCUUGUAAAUCCUUGUGCCACAGGUCAGCAUUGCAGUUAUAAUGGUCUGUUCUACUACUGCUUUUACUUCCGUAUUUUUAUAUAAAUAUAUAUGUCAAGUUUUGUUUAUCACAGAUACAAGAGACACAGAUCUUAUUGCAGCACGGUGUAAAUCUUGUGCUCCAGGUCAGCAAUGCCAUUAUAAUGGUCUAUUCUACUCUAGAGCUUUACUCUAAAUUAUUACCACUUUUCUUAUUGUUAGAAAUGGCUUGAAAACGUGAUGUUAUACCUCGAUUUAUUUGGUAUCCUGCACAUUCUUUGGUACCAAAUAUCCUCAUUACUUGCUAUGUUUACUGGUAAUUAUUUUCAUCCCAGAGCUGACCUCUUUAUAUUAUUAACAAUUAUUGUGUUUGUGUUAUAAUUUGCUUGUAUGGCUGUUUUUUUUAACCAAAAUGUAAUUGGUUUUGGAUUCUGCCUGUUAUUUAUUUCAGUGAUCUGACACAUUUUGUUUGAAUGACAGUUACUGUACUUGUGGAAAUGUGGAAUUAAAA